GCAGGAAUGGCGGAAUUGGCAGACGCGCACGGUUCAGGUCCGUGUGAAAGCAAUUUCAUGGGGGUUCAAGUCCCCCUUCCUGCA
rnacentral:tRNA from 1 species